rnacentral:lncRNA from 1 species
CCUUAACCCACUGAGCAAGGCCAGGGAUCGAACCCACAACCUCAUGGUUCCUAGUCGGAUUCGUUAACCACUGCACCAUGACGGGAACUCCAAAGACCUUAAUUUCUGACAGAAUAUCCUUUGAAGCAUUUCUUGCCACAGUUCAAUAAAAGGAAUUGUUGGCUAAAACCAGAAAAGACUAAAUUAAUGGGAGGCUAUUCUUUUGGACACAUAAGUGAUGUCCUUAUGCAUGCUUUUCAGAUGAGAGUCAUUCUAGGGAAUAUCCAAAACUAUAGGCUUAAAUGUCUUCGUGGAAGUAAAAUUUGCUUGAAAUUUUUGGAGAAAACUUUUUUCAGUUUGGGCAAAUUCUGCCACAAAGGUGCUUACAAAAAAUCUGCAGAAUUUCGUAUUUCUAAGGUUGCUAAAUAUGAGUUAAUGAUUCUCUAAGUGUUGUACUUUUAUUCAAGAGGCAUAUAGUGAUGUUAGCACUGUGAUCUAGGAGAGAAAGCCUCAAAGGCUUGUGCCAAUUUCCCUGCUCUCAGGGUUGCUACUUGUGCAUUAGAACUGAAAAUGGGGAUUUAAAAGUGACUCUUAGUAACAACACAGCUGGUUUUUUAACAAAUUGAAUUUGUUACCCAGAGGAUCAGUAGUUUCAGUUUGUUUUAAAAAUCUGAUUACCUAAAGCCAUUAGUUCUUGCAAAUUAGUUCAGCUUCCUAUUCAAGUUGCUUUUAAUCAAGUUCUGCAUACAAGCUCACACACAUCCCUGACUUUACCUCUCAAAAGAAUGAGGUACUGGAAAACACAACAGUACUGGGAAUUCUUAUUUUGUUUUGUGGUUUUAGCCACUUUAAAAUUAUAAAAAUUACAAAGUUAAUGAGAAAACCUGAAAAAUCCCAAACUCUUUAAGGAGUGUGUCUACUCUGGCCUUGUGUCUGAAGAAUUUCUCCCAAGGAUGGUUCAGCCAACUAAUGCUUGUGUACCCAAAUCACAGGUAGGCAGUACCAGCACCAGUAACCUAAAAAACAUGGACUGCAUUUUAGUGCUGUUUGCAAUAUGGGUUUUAUUAUGUUGGCAACACACACACACACACACACACACACACACACACACACACACACAAAUGGAAUAUUACUCAGUCAUAAAAAGAACAAAAUAAUGCCAUAUGCAGCAACAUGGAAGGACCUAAAGAUUAUCAUGCUAAGUAAAGUAAGUCAGACACAGAAAGAGAAAUACUGUAUGAGAUCACUUCUGUGUGGAAUCUAAUUAAAAAAAUGAUACAAAAGAACUUAUUUAUAAAUGAGAAACAAAUCCACAGAUUUCAAAAUCAAACUUAUGGUUACCAAAGGGGAAACUGCCAGGGGUGGGGGGAGAGGUGAUAAAUUAGAAGUUGGGAUUAAGGUAUACAUAUUUUGUCUUUUUGUAUUUUCUUGGGCCACACCCAUGGCAUGUGGAGGUUCCCAGGCUGGGGGUCUCAUCAGAGCUACAGCCACAGCAAUGCCAGAUCCAAGCCGAGUCUGCGACCUACACCACUACUCACGGCGACACUGGAUCCUUAACCCACUGAGCGAGGCCUGGGUAUGAGUGCAUCCUCAUGGAUAGCAGUCAGGUUUGUUACCACUGAGCCACAAUGGGAACUCCUGUCCCAAGUAUUCUAAUUGGUCUAUUUUCAUUUAUUUUUCUGGAUGCAGAGUGGUCUUCUUGAUCUAGAAAUUUCAGUUAUUUUUUUUCAGUCAUUGGAAAAUUUUUUUUUUUUUUGUCUUUUUGCUAUUUCUUUGGGCUGCUCCCACGGCAUAUGGAGGUUCCCAGGCUAAGGGUCCAAUCGGAGCUGUAGCCACUGGCCUACGCCAGAGCCACAGCAACGUGGGAUCCAAGCCGCGUCUGCGACCUACACCACAGCUCACGGCAACGCCGGAUCGUUAACCCACUGAGCAAGGGCAGGGACCGAACCCGCAACCUCAUGGUUCCUAGUCGGAUUGUUAACCACUGCGCCACGACGGGAACUCCUGGAAAAUUUUUUGAAUUAUCUUUGAUAACUUUCUGACUUUGCUCGUCAUUAAAUUCCUAUUUUCAAAUGUUGGCCCUUCUGGAGCAAUCCUCUGAUUUUCUUACCUUUUCUCUUCUAUUUUCUAGGUCUUUGUCUUAUUAUUCUGUUUUCUGGUGAAUUUCCUCAGCUCUGCCUUUAACCAUUUUACUGAAUUAAAAAAUAAUUUUCAGGAGUUUCUGUCAUGGCGCAGUGGUUAACGAACCCUACUAGGAAUCAUAAGGUUGCAGGUUUGAUCCCUGGCCUCACUCAGCGGGUUAAGGAUCCGGCAUUGCCGUGAGCUGUGGUGUAGGUCGCAGAUGUGGCUCAGAUCCCUCAUUGCUGUGGCUGUGGUGUAGACCGGUGGCUACUGCUCUGAUUAGACCCGCCUGGGAACCUCCAUAUGCCACAGGUGUGGCCCUAGAAAAGGCAAAAGGACAAAAAACAAAACAAAACGAAACAAAAAAUUCAAAUGGAUAGUAUGUGUUUUGAGUUUUAAAGAUGCAAAAGGACAAAAUGCAAAGCCUCCCAAUUCCUGCUGCUGGCCACAUACACCUUCUUCAGAGGCAAUCGCUGUUUUUCCUUCCAGAGAUAAUUUGUUCAUAUAUAAAAAAGUGAAUGUGUGUGUAUUUUCACAUCCUCCCCCUUUUAAAAUCACAAAUAGCAUACUUUACAUAUUGUUAUGUACCGUGCUUUAUUCUUAUAAACAUGUCUCAAGAGUCCUCCAUGUAGGUACAGUUUCUCCUAAAUUUUUAUACUUUUCAGGUCAACAUAGUAUUUCUUUUUACAGAUACUCCAUAUUUGGUUGAAUCUCUUUCCUAUUGAUUUUGCUAUUUGCAACAAUUUUCAGGGGAUAACUUCGUACAUACAUUAUUUUGCUCACAUGUGAUAAAGUUCUAAAUAUGGAAUUACCAAUUGAAAGGUAAUGUACACAUUUGUACCUGUAAUAGAUAUUGCCCGAAAUGUCUCCCAUAGAAGCUGUGCUAAAACAUAAACUGUCACCAGCAAGGUAUGAAAGUACAUUUUCUACAUCCUUGCAACACAGUAUAUUAUGAAACUUCUUAGUCUUUGCCAAUCUGAUAAGUGAAAAAUGGUAUCUCAUGUGGUUUUAAUUUACAUGUAUCUUAGGAGGUCGAGCAUCUUUUCAUGAGUCUCUAAAAGUCAUUUGUAUUUACCUUCCUGUGAAUUGCCGUAUUCUUUGCUAUUGGGCUGUUUUCAAAGUUGUGUCACUUUAUACAUAAGGGAAAUAAGGCCCUUAUCUGUGGUAAGAAUUGGAGUUGUUCCCAGUUUAUUAUUCAUCUUUUGACUUGGAUUAUGUUGCAUUUCUCAGUGUAUGUGAAUUUACCAACUGCUUCUUUUAAGGCCUUUGAAUUGAAUGUCAUAAAGAGAAAAGGGUUUUCUUCCCUCUAAAAAUUUUUUUUAAUUAACCAGGGUUGUGUCUGAUAAUUUUGUGCUUUUCCACUUUUCUAUUUAAAUUACUAAUCUGUCAUAAAUUUAUUUUAGGAAGUGGGGAUCUCAAUUUACCUUUUUUCAGAUGGCUGCAUAUUAUUAUUAAUAAUCCAUUUUUAUUUUUGAUUGAAAAAUACCACCUUAACAUAUACUAAUUUCUUUAUGUUUUUGUGUCUAUUUUUGUUCUAUUGAUCUGCUGAACUAUGCAUGUUUUAAUUGUAACACUAUUAAAAGUUUUCCAACGUAUUUUUGUAUUAGGGAAAACUAGGUUUUUAAUUUAUGUUGUUGAUGUUAAUCAUCAAUUUUGCAGUGACAUUUAAAAAAUAAAUUAUGCAGAAUUUAAAAGAAACCAAUCAUGUUAUGCAAAGGAAGUAUACCAUCCUAGGUAAGGCUCAGAGUUUUCUAACUCAAGGUUUGCUUUUUAAUUUUUUUUUCCAGUGAUGGGGAAACAAGACACCAAAACAAGGGUAAGCAGUACUUAACACUCACCUUUGCAAUCAAGAUUGGCUUACACAUCAGAGCAUUUAGCCUUGAGGGAGGGGAAAAAAAAUGAUAGGUCAACCAUUGCACAGCAAAACUCUGAAGUUUGAGAGUUGGAUGAAAAGACUUGAUUAUGGGAACUCUGAGUCAUUUGAGAUGAACUUUUAGUUCAUUCUCAGGUGAUGAAAAUACAGCAUCAGUAGUCAACUGGAAUGCAAGCAGCAUGGUGAUUUUCCUUCAGUGAAAAGCCUUUAUUUGUUUGAGAUGAAAAGAAGAGACUCAGUGAACCAGAGACCAUUUUAUUCUAAAUCAUGACAGCCUUUUGGCAUCUCUUCUCAGCGUUACUUCCAAGUAGCCCAUAGAGUAGAAAAAACAGUUGCCACUUCUACAUGUGUCUGUGUGAGCCAGACUAUUGCCAUAUUAAUAUUGUAAUGGCAAGAGAGAGGAGAACUGGUCUAGGUGGUGGCCCAAAGCCACGCUCAUGAGUGAGGCAUUUUAAAAACUGUUUUAAUGAGUUUAAAAUAGGAGUUCCUGGAGUUCCUAUUGUGGUUCAGAGGUAAGGAACCCAACUAGUAUCCAUGAGAUAUGGGUUCAAUCCCUGGCCUCACUCAGUGGGUAAGGGUCCAGCAUUGCCAUGAGCUGCAGUGUAGGAUGUAGACACAGCUCAGAUCCCACGUUGAUAUGGCUGUGAUGUUGGCCAGCAAUUGCAGUUCUGAUUUGACCCCUGGCCUGGGAACUUCCAUAUGCUGCAGGUGCAGCCCUAAAAGGACAAAAUAAAAAAAAAAAAAAAGGAGUUCUGUUGUGGCUCAGCAGGUUAAGGAUCCAGCAUUGUCACUGCAUUGGCUCAGGGUUGCUGCUGGAGUAUGGUUCAAUCCCUAGCCCAGGUACUUCUGCAUGCCAUGGAUGUAACCUUCCCC